GAUGAACGCUGGCGGCGUGCCUAAUACAUGCAAGUCGAGCGAGCAGACGAGGAGCUUGCUCCUCUGACGUUAGCGGCGGACGGGUGAGUAACACGUGGAUAACCUACCUAUAAGACUGGGAUAACUUCGGGAAACCGGAGCUAAUACCGGAUAAUAUAUUGAACCGCAUGGUUCAAUAGUGAAAGACGGUUUUGCUGUCACUUAUAGAUGGAUCCGCGCCGCAUUAGCUAGUUGGUAAGGUAACGGCUUACCAAGGCAACGAUGCGUAGCCGACCUGAGAGGGUGAUCGGCCACACUGGAACUGAGACACGGUCCAGACUCCUACGGGAGGCAGCAGUAGGGAAUCUUCCGCAAUGGGCGAAAGCCUGACGGAGCAACGCCGCGUGAGUGAUGAGGGUCUUCGGAUCGUAAAACUCUGUUAUUAGGGAAGAACAAAUGUGUAAGUAACUAUGCACGUCUUGACGGUACCUAAUCAGAAAGCCACGGCUAACUACGUG
rnacentral:rRNA from 1 species